GACGAACGCUGGCGGCGUGCUUAACACAUGCAAGUCGAACGGUAAGGCCCUUCGGGGUACACGAGUGGCGAACGGGUGAGUAACACGUGGGUGAUCUGCCCUGCACUUCGGGAUAAGCCUGGGAAACUGGGUCUAAUACCGGAUAGGACCACUGCCUGCAUGGGUGGAGGUGGAAAGCUUUUGCGGUGUGGGAUGGGCCGGCGGCCUAUCAGCUUGUUGGUGGGGUGAUGGCCUACCAAGGCGACGACGGGUAGCCGGCCUGAGAGGGUGACCGGCCACACUGGGACUGAGAUACGGCGCAGACUCGUCCGGAAGGCAGCGGUGGGGAAUAUUGCACAAUGGGCGCAAGCCUGAUGCAGCGACGCAGCGUGAGGGAUGACGGCCUUCGGGUUGUAAACCUCUUUCAGCACCGACGAAGCGCAAGUGACGGUAGGUGCAGAAGAAGGACCGGCCAACUACGUGCCAGCAGCCGCCGAA
rnacentral:rRNA from 1 species